AUACGGAGGAUCCGCGCGUUAUCCGGAUUUAUUGGGUUUAAAGGGUGCGCAGGCGGCCAUUUAAGUCAGCGGUUAAAUCGUGGGGCUCAACCCCAUUCUGCCGUUGAUACUGGGUGGCUUGAUUGCGGUCGAGGUUGGCGGAAUUCGUUGUGUAGCGGUGAAAUGCAUAGAUAUGACGAAGAACACCGAUUGCGUAGGCAGCUGACCAGACCGCAAAUGACGCUCAUGCACGAAAGUGCGGGGAUCGAACAGGAUUAGAUACCCUGGUAGUCCGCACAGUAAACGAUGAAUACUUGUUUUCGGCGAUAUAAUGUCGGAGGCAAAGCGAAAGCGAUAAGUAUUCCACCUGGGGAGUACGCCGGCAACGGUGAAACUCAAAUGAAUUGACGGGG
rnacentral:rRNA from 1 species